CCUACGGGAGGCUGCAGUCGAGAAUCAUUCACAAUGGGGGAAACCCUGAUGGUGCGACGCCGCGUGGGGGAAUGAAGGUCUUCGGAUUGUAAACCCCUGUCAUGUGGGAGAAAAUUAAAAAGAUAGUACCACAAGAGGAAGAGACGGCUAACUCUGUGACAGCUGCCGCGGUAAUACAGAGGUCUAAAGCGUUGUUCGGAAUCACUGGGCGUAAAGCGUGCGUAGGCUGUUUCGUAAGUCGUGUGUGAAAGGCGCGGGCCCAACCCGCGGACGGCACAUGAUACUGCGAUACUAGAGUAAUGGAGGGGGAACCGGAAUUCUCGGUGUAGCAGUGAAAUGCGUAGAUAUCGAGAGGAACACUCGUGGCGAAGGCGGGUUCCUGGACAUUAACUGACGCUGAGGCACGAAGGCCAGGGGAGCGAAAGGGAUUAGAUACCCUGGUAGUC
rnacentral:rRNA from 1 species